CCUACGGGUGGCAGCAGUGAGGAAUAUUGGUCAAUGGGCGCGAGCCUGAACCAGCCACGUAGCGUGAAGGAUGACUGCCCUACGGGUUGUAAACUUCUUUUAUAAAGGAAUAAAGUGAGGCACGUGUGCCUUUUUGUAUGUACUUUAUGACUAAGGAUCGGCUACCUCCGUGCCAGUUGCCGCGGUAAUACGGAGGAUCCGUGCGUUAUACGGAUUGAUUGGGUUGAAUGGGAGCGUAGAUGGGUUGUUAAGUCAGCUGUGAAAGUUUGCGGCUCAACCGUAAAAUUGCAAUUGAUACUGUCAGUCUUGAGUACAGUUGAGGUAGGCGGAAUUCGUGGUGUAGCGGUGAAAUGCUUAGAUAUCACGAAGAACUCCGAUGGCGAAGGCAGCUUACUAAACUGCCACUGACAUUGAUGCUCGAAAGUGUGGGUAUCAAACAGGAUUAGAUACCCCUGUAGUC
rnacentral:rRNA from 1 species